rnacentral:rRNA from 1 species
AUUGAACGCUGGCGGCAGGCCUAACACAUGCAAGUCGAACGGUAACAGGAAACAGCUUGCUGUUUCGCUGACGAGUGGCGGACGGGUGAGUAAUGUCUGGGAAACUGCCUGAUGGAGGGGGAUAACUACUGGAAACGGUAGCUAAUACCGCAUAACGUCGCAAGACCAAAGAGGGGGACCUGCGGGCUUCUUGCCAUCGGAUGUGCCCAGAUGGGAUUAGCUAGUAGGUGGGGUAACGGCUCACCUAGGCGACGAUCCCUAGCUGGUCUGAGAGGAUGACCAGCCCCGGUGGAACUGAGACACGGUCCAGACUCCUACGGGAGGCCGCAGUGGGGAAUAUUGCACAAUGGGCGCAAGCCUGAUGCAGCCAUGUCGCGUGUAUGAAGAAGGCCUUCGGGUUGUAAAGUACUUUCAGCGGGGAGGAAGGGAGUAAAGUUAAUACCUUUGCUCAUUGACGUUACCCGCAGAAGAAGCACCGGCUAACUCCGUGCCAGCCGCCGCAGUAA